rnacentral:rRNA from 1 species
AGAGUUUGAUCCUGGCUCAGACAGAACGGUGGGCGCAGGCAUCACACACACAUGUGGGGCGGUAGCACAGAGACCUUGCUCUCGGGUGACGAGUGGCGGACGGGUGAGUAAUGUCUGGGGAUCUGCCCGAUAGAGGGGGAUAACCACUGGAAACGGUGGCUAAUACCGCAUAACGUCGCAAGACCAAAGAGGGGGACCUUCGGGCCUCUCACUAUCGGAUGAACCCAGAUGGGAUUAGCUAGUAGGCGGGGUAAUGGCCCACCUAGGCGACGAUCCCUAGCUGGUCUGAGAGGAUGACCAGCCACACUGGAACUGAGACACGGUCCAGACUCCUACGGGAGGCAGCAGUGGGGAAUAUUGCACAAUGGGCGCAAGCCUGAUGCAGCCAUGCCGCGUGUAUGAAGAAGGCCUUCGGGUUGUAAAGUACUUUCAGCGGGGAGGAAGGCGA